AGUGGGUCUGGAAACAACUAGAUGGGCAAAAGCCUUCGCAAGGAGCAUCUAUGCCGCAACCUGGUCCUUUCCCACACCCAUUAAAUCAAAUGCUCAUCAUUCCUCUACCUCCCAUGGGACACAAGAGGCAUAGUCCCUGGAGAAACUGAGCUGAAACAUUUUCAGGCCUGGAGACACCAAGUUCAAUAAAGGAUAAGGUACUAAAUGGAUGAACGUCUACAUACUGGACUGUGGGGCUUUGAGCCCUAUCUCCUCUUUCUCCCUCCAAAAGCUGGCAGAUGGUGGCAGACAGGUAAUUUGGAGAAAAUGAACAACACCAGAGGGCUUACCUGUGAUGACAUUUCAGGACUGCCUAACAGAAAGGUACUGUGGUAGCGUCCCUUUCCACCCCUGCCUGAAGCCAAUUCUCAUUUAUCCAACCCUAAGGAAGAACAUGAAGUCAACGGACUCACCAAACAUCUAACUUAGUAAAGACCUCAGCCCUCUCCCCCAGGCAAACCUCUUCCUCUUGGCAAUUUUGUCUGAUGUUCUCCAUCCAGAAGAGAGAAAAAAAAAAACAAAACUAGAAAAUGAUCAGAAAGAGAAGAGGCAGAGAGAGGAUUGGACAGUGUAGGGAGCUCACAGGCAAGAGAACUCUUCAAUAUCAUGAAGUGUCAACCACAUUUGUGUUUUGUUUAAAUUAGACUUAUUUGACUUUUUUGAGAAAGCAUCAGCAUCCAAAUCAUUCACUUGGUAGCAUAUCGGUGGCCUCCUAUACGACACACCAAGCGACACAUUGCCAGCAUGCAGAGAAGGCAUAGGCCUACAAGUGAUACUACUUAGUGUGGUACCUUAGACAAGUGAUUGAAUUUCCCUGUGACUUAGUUUUCUCAUCUGUAAAAUAGGUAUAGUUAUAGACUCGACCUCAAAGGCUGUGAUGAGAAUUAAACGAAUUGUUGUGUAUAAAUGUUGUGAGCAUAAUACCUGAACAUAAUUCCACCAGGCCCUUCACAAAGAAAAUGAUGCUUGGCUUGGCCUUUAAAAAAAUGAGCAGGAGUGUGAGGAGAAUGGAAAAGGGUUGAGAAGGUUGUCCUAGUAGAGAAGCCAGCAUAACAAUGGCACAGAAGUGAACAUACACACGAAUUGCUGGCUGAGGGAGGCUGCAGUGGGACAGAACCAGGAGGGGCUGCGGGAGCCCCGGGCCUCCUCUGCAGGCUCUGCUGGGAACGUGCGUGCAGGGAGGAGGCUGUCCAGGUGAUCCGUGGAGCUUCUGCUGCAGGAAGGAAGCCGUCCUUGACUGGGUAGAGAAAGAAUGGUCCUGGAAGAGAAGGGGGAGCAUCUCCCAUCUGCUGUCAUCAAUUCCCUCAGCAUCUGUUCCCAUUACUUCCCCAUGGUC
rnacentral:lncRNA from 1 species